AUUUACACAUAUGUACAUAUCAAAUAACUUGUAUAUGAUUAUAUCUGCAAUCCCUGUAUACUUUUUACAUACUUUCAAACAGUUCUCUUACUAUGAAACGGUCACGAACGUUUACUCGUAUCGAAAAAAAGGAAAAAAAAUGGUUCCAUUUUUGGAUAUAAAUCUGUUCGGCGAUGAUUUUCACAUGGCAUGUUUUCUCUAACUUGUUUUAUAAAGUUCAAAUCAAUUUCUGCUAAAGCUAUAUCAGUUUUAUCACUACACUGAGCUACUACUGUUCCCCAUGGGUCAACAACCUGCAAAAGUUGUACAUAUAGCAUUAGCAAUUACAAAUUAAAAAGUAUCUUAAAAGUUACACAAA